rnacentral:rRNA from 1 species
AACAGGUUAAUAUUCCUGUACUUUAUUAUACUGCGAUGGGGUGACGAAGAAGGCUAUGUCAGCCACCCGAUGGUUGUGGUGGUUUAAGCGAGUAGAGAGGAUUCUUAGGAAAAUCCGGGAAUUCAAUCUCGAGACGUGAUGAGGUGAUUUCUUUUGGAAAUCUGAACUGAUUGAUGCCAUGCUUCCAGGAAAAGCCUCUAAGCUUCAGGUAUAAUAGAACCGUACCCCAAACCGACACAGGUGGACAG